CUUGUAUUAUUAAACUUGCAUUGUUUCUUGGUCUUUGUUGCCUGACUCCUAUUUAAAGCAAGCUUGUAGCAAACUUUGACAAUCAUAGUUCAAAUAUAUAAUUUAAAACUCUUUGUCUUUUGAUGCAGGUCUUGAACAUUCCUCCACCUCCAAGUUUAACGUGGCUACUUGAGAGAUUCUAAACACCAGAGUCUAGACACCCUGCAAGUCAUCACCCUAUGAGAGGCAGUCAUGCUUGAAGCUUCAACAUAUCUUCUGGGAUUGCUCUGAUUUCUUCCAUCCUUUGUGGCAACUGGACUUCUUCGUUCACGGUGGGUUGUGAGCUUCAACAUUCGUUGUCUUCACUACUCAAGCACCCCUGCAGCCACCUUGUGUAGGUUGCCGGAAGUAUUCCAAGAGACCAUCGAGGGUGAGCUUUCCUCUCCAGACACCAGUUUCAAUGAUUUGUGGUUUGUCUCGCUUGGU
rnacentral:lncRNA from 1 species